UACGGAGGAUCCAAGCGUUAUCCGGAUUUAUUGGGCUUAAAGGGUGCGUAGGCGGCUUAUUAAGUCAGGGGUGAAAGACGGUGGCUCAACCAUCGCAGUGCCUUUGAUACUGAUGAGCUUGAAUAUACUAGAGGUAGGCGGAAUGUGACAAGUAGCGGUGAAAUGCAUAGAUAUGUCACAGAACACCGAUUGCGAAGGCAGCUUACUAUGGUAUUAUUGACGCUGAGGCACGAAAGCGUGGGGAUCAAACAGG
rnacentral:rRNA from 1 species